UUUCCGUAGGUGAACCUGCGGAAGGAUCAUUAUUGAACAAACCUGAUGUGGUUGUAGCUGGCCCUUUCGGGAGCAUGUGCACACCCGUCGUCUUUAUCUUUCCACCUGUGCACCUUUUGUAGACCUGGAUGUAACACUUUCCGAGGCAACUCGGUCGGGAGGAAUGCUGUCAGCUUUCCUUGAAUGUCCAGGCCUAUGUUUUCAUAUACCCCAAAGAAUGUAACAGAAUGUAUUAUUGGGCCUUGUGCCUAUAAACUAUAUACAACUUUCAGCAACGGAUCUCUUGGCUCUC
rnacentral:misc_RNA from 1 species